GCAGACUCACUCUGCACCCUGCUAUAGCCUCAAGUGUGGGUGCUUUUUUCUGUCUGCCAGGGGCCCAGGACCACUUUGACUUGUCAAAGUAGAUGGAGCUGCCUGGCAACAUAGGC